GACGAACGCUGGCGGCGUGCUUAACACAUGCAAGUCGAGCGGUAAGGCCCUUUCGGGGGUACACGAGCGGCGAACGGGUGAGUAACACGUGGGUGACCUGCCCUCAGCUCUGGGAUAAGCCUGGGAAACCGGGUCUAAUACCGGAUAUGACUCCAUGACGCAUGUUGUGGGGUGGAAAGCCUUGUGCGGCUGAGGAUGGGCCCGCGGCCUAUCAGCUUGUUGGUGGGGUGANGGCCUACCAAGGCGACGACGGGUAGCCGGCCUGAGAGGGCGACCGGCACACUGGGACUGAGACACGGCCCAGACUCCUACGGGAGGCAGCAGGUGGGGAAUCUUGCGACAAGUGGGCGAAAGCCUGACGCAGCCGACGCCGCGU
rnacentral:rRNA from 1 species